CCUACGGGCGGCUGCAGUGGGGAAUAUUGGACAAUGGGGGGAACCCUGAUCCAGCCAUGCCGCGUGUGUGAAGAAGGCCCUCGGGUUGUAAAGCACUUUCAGUGAGGAAGAACGCCUGGUGGUUAAUACCCAUCAGGAAAGACAUCACUCACAGAAGAAGCACCGGCUAACUCCGUGCCAGCAGCCGCGGUAAUACGGAGGGUGCGAGCGUUAAUCGGAAUUACUGGGCGUAAAGCGCGCGUAGGUGGCUUGAUAAGCCGGUUGUGAAAGCCCCGGGCUCAACCUGGGAACGGCAUCCGGAACUGUCGAGCUAGAGUGCAGGAGAGGAAGGUAGAAUUCCCGGUGUGGCGGUGAAAUGCGUAGUGAUCGGGAGGAAUACAAGUGGCGAAGGCGGCCUUCUGGACUGACACUGACACUGAGGUGCGAAAGCGUGGGUAGCAAACAGGAUUAGAUACACCGGUAGUC
rnacentral:rRNA from 1 species